ACACGUGUUAAGUUCAGAGCAGCAGAGGGAGUCAUCAGAUGCAUGCACUCGAUUUAGAAACUACUACGCUCCGAGGGGGGAGACUGUGCACUCUGUGACAUUUGGAGGCUGUAAACAACUCUCCUGCCAAGAAAAGUGUCCCCCAAAAGGACAGGGAUACUCGGGCUUCUAGAAGGGGCAAGGCACUAAAAUAAGGAGUUUUUUAAAAAUAAAAUUAAUAAAUCAUUCAUAGAGAAACAGGGAUUUGGCUUUCAUAUGGACCAACUCGGGUUUUCAGCCAGCCAAGAAUUAUGAGACUCACAUGUGAGAAAGGAAAAAGAAACAGAGUGGUGAUCAGAAUGCAAGAAAAAUUCAAAAGAAAGUCAUGUUCAAGAAAAUACUUUUUCAUACUCCCUUUUCUCAAAGCAGUGGGAUGUUCAAAUCAAGAUAGCCAUUAAAAGGUCAGUUCCCUUUGGAGAAGAAAGCCCUGGAGACUCCUGAUGACUUUGUACCAAUCUGGGUUGGGGUUGUUGUUGUUUUUAAAGCAUAUGUACAGGUUGAGCAGGUAUCCUGGGAGCAUAGCUACUACAAGCAAGCACAGGCAGCACCUUUCCCAAAGUAGCUUCAGGUCCCUAAAGCCAACCUCUUCCCAUGAAAAUUCAGAAUACGUCUGUCAAAACUCCUCAAACCACUCCAGAGUCGGACCAGGCAAAUGCUUUCAGGCUUUACCUCUUGAGGACAGGUGUUUGGGUAAAUAAUACCAAAUCACUAUUCUUGUUUGGGAGGUGUACAUGUGAUGAUUGCAUUUUAUCCUCAAAACAAGGCUGUGGGAGCAUUAAAUAAGGCUAAAAGUGAAUGACUGGCCCAAGGUCAUUCCAAGAGCUUCAUAGGAAUGUUAUACUGAGUCAGACUACUGAUCUAUCUAGCUCAGUAUCAUUUACAUUGACUGGCAGUGACUCUUCAAGGUUUCAGGUAGGAGUCUUUCCCAGCCCUACCUGGAGAUGACAGGGGUUGAACCUGGGACCUUCUACAUGCAAAGCAGAUGCUCUACCACUGCUCUAUGGCCUCAUCCCCAUUCAUGGCUAAGCAGAAAUCUGAACCCAGCCCUCCUAAGUCUAGGGCCAGCAUACAUCAUAUAGGCUCUAAUGAUCCUAGCCUCAAUCCUGCGCACACUUCCCUGGAAGUAAACCCCUUCAUGGUGAAACAUACAUCAUAGUGAAACAUACAUAGACUGUGAUAAGACUGUGAUUGUGCUGCACAUUCAUUGGAGCACUAUUACUAAUUACAGUAUACACAGCAUAAUGCCCUUUUAUGAUACAGUGUGUCUGACAACAAAAAUGAGGCUAAUUUUGAGUUAAUAUAAGGCUAAUUAAUUCAUUCCUAAAUGUUGGUGUCGUCUGUGUGUGGUGUGGCCUUCCUGUACACCUGCUACACCUCUAGGAUGUAAUGUUUGGCUCAUGAUGUAAAGUUUGUAUGAACACAUCCAUUUUAAGUGAUAACCCCAAUUGCUACAAUUCUUCAAUUCAAAAAAGGUAUGAAAUGUCACAGAAGUUUGUUUGUUUGUUUGUUUGUUGCUUAAUUCUAUUUCUAUACCUUCCAAAAAUGGCUCAGGGCGGUUUACACAGAGAAAUAAUAAAUAAAUAAGAUGGA